rnacentral:rRNA from 1 species
GAUAAACAAUUAGCGGUCGUUAAUGCUUCUUGUACUGCUCCUUGGUAUGCUGAUUAUGCUAAUUACAUUGUUGCUAAAUUUAUACCGCCUAGUUUCACAUACCAGCAAAAGAAAAAGUUCUUUUAUGAUUUAAGACAUUACUUCUGGGAUGAUCCACACCUUUAUAAAGAAGGAGUAGAUGGUGUUAUUAGAUGUUGUGUGCCUGAGCAUGAACAGGGACCGAUUCUACGCAAGUGUCACUCUGAAUCUUAUGGAGGACACCACGCUGGAGAUAGAAUUGCACACAAGGUACUCCAAUCUGGUUUUUAUUGGCCUACUCUCUUCAAAGAUGCUCGUAAGUUUGUCUUAUCUUGUGAUGAAUGCCAAAGAAUAUGUAACAUUAGUAGACGUCAAGAAAUGCCUAUGAAUUAUUCUCUUAUU